CAGUCUGAUGGAGCACGCCGCGUGAGUGAAGAAGGGUUUCGGCUCGUAAAGCUCUGUUGUUAAAGAAGAACGUGGGUAAGAGUAACUGUUUACCCAGUGACGGUAUUUAACCAGAAAGCCACGGCUAACUACGUGCCAGCAGCCGCGGUAAUACGUAGGUGGCAAGCGUUAUCCGGAUUUAUUGGGCGUAAAGCGAGCGCAGGCGGUCUUUUAAGUCUAAUGUGAAAGCCUUCGGCUCAACCGAAGAAGUGCAUUGGAAACUGGGAGACUUGAGUGCAGAAGAGGACAGUGGAACUCCAUGUGUAGCGGUGAAAUGCGUAGAUAUAUGGAAGAACACCAGUGGCGAAGGCGGCUGUCUGGUCUGCAACUGACGCUGAGGCUCGAAAGCAUGGGUAGCGAACAGGAUUAGAUACCCUGGUAGUCCAUGCCGUAAACGAUGAUUACUAAGUGUUGGAGGGUUUCCGCCCUUCAGUGCUGCAGCUAACGCAUUAAGUAAUCCGCCUGGGGAGUACGACCGCAAGGUUGAAACUCAAAAGAAUUGACGGGGGCCCGCACAAGCGGUGGAGCAUGUGGUUUAAUUCGAAGCUACGCGAAGAACCUUACCAGGUCUUGACAUCUUCUGACAGUCUAAGAGAUUAGAGGUUCCCUUCGGGGACAGAAUGACAGGUGGUGCAUGGUUGUCGUCAGCUCGUGUCGUGAGAUGUUGGGUUAAGUCCCGCAACGAGCGCAACCCUUAUUACUAGUUGCCAGCAUUAAGUUGGGCACUCUAGUGAGACUGCCGGUGACAAACCGGAGGAAGGUGGGGACGACGUCAAAUCAUCAUGCCCCUUAUGACCUGGGCUACACACGUGCUACAAUGGAUGGUACAACGAGUCGCGAGACCGCGAGGUUAAGCUAAUCUCUUAA
rnacentral:rRNA from 1 species